AACCUAUGGUGAGGGCAUCUUCACAAUAACUCCUUAUACCUCUCUCAUGCAUCAUAUAGGGUCUCUAAGUCCAUCUGCUCGAAGGAGAGAUAUCAUUCCUCAACUU
rfam:Gossypium arboreum cultivar AKA8401 contig_20123_7, whole genome shotgun sequence.